rnacentral:rRNA from 1 species
GAUGAACGCUAGCGGGAGGCCUAACACAUGCAAGCCGAGCGGUAUUGUUUCUUCGGAAAUGAGAGAGCGGCGUACGGGUGCGUAACACGUGUGCAACCUGCCUUUAUCUGGGGGAUAGCCUUUCGAAAGGAAGAUUAAUACUCCAUAAUAUAUUGAACGGCAUCGUUUAAUAUUGAAAGCUCCGGCGGAUAGAGAUGGGCACGCACAAGAUUAGCUAGUUGGUGAGGUAACGGCUCACCAAGGCGAUGAUCUUUAGGGGGCCUGAGAGGGUGAUCCCCCACACUGGUACUGAGACACGGACCAGACUCCUACGGGAGGCAGCAGUGAGGAAUAUUGGUCAAUGGGUGCAAGCCUGAACCAGCCAUCCCGCGUGAAGGACGACUGCCCUAUGGGUUGUAAACUUCUUUUGUAUAGGGAUAAACCUACCCUCGAGAGGGUAGCUGAAGGUACUAUACGAAUAAGCACCGGCUAACUCCGUG